UAGAGCGUCUCGUUUACACCGAGAAUGUCGGGGGUUCGAGUCCCUCAGCGCCCAUCA
rnacentral:tRNA from 1 species